rfam:Kingella kingae ATCC 23330 genomic scaffold SCAFFOLD3, whole genome shotgun sequence.
GGGGGCGACUUUGGUUUCGACGGGGGUUGCAAAGCAAAUGCGGGCAUACCGAGUUCUCAGAGACUCGUAAAACACUGAAUCAAAAUAGUCGCAAACGACGAAACUUACGCUUUGGCUGCUUAAUGCCAAGCUGUUGCAGCAGUUGGUCGAUGGACUGUGUAGGGUCAAACCUACGGCAACAUCAUUUUACAUUGACUGGUUUUGUGUCGGGUUACUUGGCACAAAAUAAGAUUUAAGGUAGCUGGUUUUCUGAAAGCCUGUCUGUCGGCGCGAUGAAGACGAGACUUUUAAGUUGGCAAGACUAAGUAUGUAGAACGCUUUGUAGAGGAUUUUCGGACGGGGGUUCAAUUCCCCCCGCCUCCACCA